rnacentral:rRNA from 1 species
AGCCUGAACGCUGGCGGCGUGGCUAAGACAUGCAAGUCGUACGGGCGCAGCAAUGCGUCAGUGGCGGACGGGUGAGUAAAGUAUCGCUAACGUGCCCUCCAGUCUGGGAUAGCCGAGGGAAACUUCGGGUAAUACCGGGUGACAUCACGAUCAGGCAUCUGAUUGUGCUCAAAGGGAAACCGCUGGAGGAGCGGGCGAUAUCGUAUCAGCUAGUUGGCGGGUAACGGCCCACCAAGGCGACGACGCGUAGCCGGACUGAGAGGUUGGCCGGCCACAUUGGGACUGAGACACUGCCCAGACUCCUACGGGGGGCUGCAGUAACGAAUCUUCCGCAAUGCACGCAAGUGUGACGGAGCGACGCCGCGUGUGGGACGAAGCCCGUUCGGGGUGUAAACCACUGUCAGGGGUAAGAAAGUUCUGAUCUGCCCCAGAGGAAGGCACGGCUAACUCUGCGCCAGCAGCCGCGGUAA